rnacentral:lncRNA from 1 species
GACUUGAGUUCAGUUUGCAGGGAAAAUGGGUGUAAUGUAGGGGAAGUGGAGCUCUGUUCCAGCUGUGGCUGUUACAGAUCUCCUCGGUCUCCAUCCUUCAGCUGUGCCAGUCAGGUGGAGUAGUUGGGGGGACAUGUAAGAUUGACCUCCAUGGUGUGGAGGUUUUCAGUUUGUUCUUGGCUGCACGAACAUUUCUUGUGGAGCUGACUGCAGGACUGCAGAACCAGCACUGAGAGAAGCCCAAUUCAAAGGCUUUCCUCCUGAUGUGCACAGUGGAUUUAGAAAGCUGGGAGCCCAGGGGUUUUAUCUUGCUGGGAGGGAAAGCUUGGUGAGAUUUAUAGUGGGAGGGAAUCUGAGACCAAGAGAGUUCAGCUAAAGGAUCAAGCAAAGAGAACUCAGCAACCAAGUCCUUGUUCAGUAACACAACUGAAUUGUGAACGAUGGUGAGAAGACACUGAUUCAGCUCUUAGCUAAGAAGCUUCAUCUCCAGAAACACAAGCCCUCUCUGGCCACAAAAUCAUUGGUAAGCUUUAUCUUGGACCUUGUGAGGUUCAGCCCCUACUGACUGUAGCCUCUUUGCUAUUGCAGAAGUCAUACAGAUAUUGACUGAUAAUUUAUUUUUGUAGUCUCUCUUCUUUGGGCAGCAGGAUUAGGAAUAUAAUGAAUGAAAAACUGGAGAAAGGGG